CUGGACAAUGUCUGAGAUUCUGCAGUUCCAACAAACUCUCAGGUGAUGCCCAUGAGGCUAAUAUGGAAACGGAUACGUGAGAUGUUUUCUUCCUAAUUUGUAAUACAAUGUGUCUCAACAGGGGGAAUGAGGACGGGGGAGAAAAGAAGGUGUGGAUAAAAUGUACAGAUUUCAUAUGCCCUUUGGGUGAUUCCAAUAUUCUUGUCGUCUUAAGAACCACAGAAUGACACAGGAAAUAAAUGUAGCCAAGUCCCAAAUUUGAUCCCAGGGGAAAAUAAAAGUGCCAUGUGAAAAAGAAGAGAGAUUACAGGUUUAGGAGAGAAGCGAUCAUUGGCAGAACAAGAUCCUAUGGAAGG
rnacentral:lncRNA from 1 species